GCGACUAGGAGUGCUGGCGCGCGAGAUCCAGCAGCCAGUGGCGGGAGAAAUUGGCCAGCACGGGAACGAGUUGCCAACGGCGGGAAGGAAAAGGGGAUCGGGGGGAAGAGCAUCGCUGGAAUCAGAGAGAGAGAGAGAGAGCAUUACGCUACGCACCUCGACCAUGUCCUCUCCGGCGACCAGCUACCGACGGCAAGCUCCAGCCUCUGCACCACCUCCUCUCUGCCCCUGCCACGAUCUCCUCCUCCCCUUUCCCCUCCUCCCGCAACCUCCUUUCCCCUCAUGGCCUCCUUCCCGCCUCCCCUCUUUCCCCUGCAGAUCCAGCUACAGGGCAGCGACUCAGCUCCAAUCCAGCACCACAGUGACUCUUCUACGUGCAUCAAGGCACCAUCAAGGCCGACACAAUGGCUGAUGCCGGUGAUGCCGGUGAGGCUGAGAUGGAUCUGAUGCUUGAUCCUACACGGAAGCCACUUAGGUCAAAUGAUCCAGGUUGGAAGUAUGGGUAUUGGACUUACCCUCCCGUCCGAGACAUUGUCACAUGUAAUCUUUGUAAAAGGAAGUUGACUGGAGGUAUAACAAGGUUGAAAGAGCAUCUUGCGGGUGCUUAUGGUGAUGCUUUGAUAUGUCUCAAGACUACAACCCUAAUCAGGAUUGAGUUGGAGCGAGCUUUGCAAAAAGGGUGAAGGGCGAAGAGGCCAGUGUUAAUCGAUGAUGGUGGAGAGAAAGAGGUGGUGGAGGUAGCUGCUUCAGCUACAACAACAGCCUGCCCAAAACCAAGUUCUGGAACAGUGAAUAAAAGGAGUAAAACUGAUGUCCACAUUGCUGGUGCAGCCCAAGGCAAUGGAAAGGAGACCAACAACAACCAAAAGACCAUUGUUUCCAUGCUCCCAAAGAAGCUAGCAGAAGUUGUAGAUGAAAGGCACUCUAGAUGUUCGCAACACACCAUGGAGUCUAGCACAAAGACCAAAGCAGAUAGAGAUGAUGUGGGUAAAGAGUGGGCUUUGUGGUUCGCUGAGGCAAAAAUACCAUUCAAUGUUGCAAGCUCAAGGCAGUUUGAGAUUGCAAUUGAGGAAUAUUGCCAAUAUGGGUUUGGCUAUAAGCCUCCUACCCCAAAUGAGUUGAGUGGGCCAUUGCUUGAUGCUCUUGUUGUAGACACACGUGCUUCGAGGAAGCAGCACGAGGAAGCUUGGAAGCAAUAUGGUUGCACACUCUUGUCAGAUGGAUGGACCGAUAGGAGAGGGCGUCACUUGAUAAACUUCCUUGUCAACAGCCCGGAAGGGACUUACUUCAUUGAAUCCUGCUACUUCUUGAGCAUGCGUUGGUUUUCCCUUGAAGAGGAAAGGGUGAUGCAGCAAAGUAGAGUAAGUAUUUCCCUCGGUUUGAGAAACCAA